AUACGGGAGGCAGCAGUGGGGAAUCUUCCGCAAUGGACGAAAGUCUGACGGAGCAACGCCGCGUGAGGGAUGAAGGCCUUCGGGUUGUAAACCUCUGUCUUCAGGGAAGAAAAAAAUGACGGUACCUGAGGAGGAAGCCCCGGCUAACUACGUGCCAGCAGCCGCGGUAAUACGUAGGGGGCGAGCGUUAUCCGGAAUUAUUGGGCGUAAAGGGCGCGUAGGCGGAUAUUUAAGUCAGGUGUGAAAACCCAGGGCUCAACCCUGGAUCUGCAUCUGAUACUGGGUAUCUUGAGGACAGGAGAGGAAAGUGGAAUUCCUAGUGUAGCGGUGAAAUGCGUAGAUAUUAGGAGGAACACCAGUGGCGAAGGCGACUUUCUGGACUGUAACUGACGCUGAGGCGCGAAAGCGUGGGGAGCAAACAGGAUUAGAUACCCUGGUAGG
rnacentral:rRNA from 1 species